rnacentral:rRNA from 1 species
AUCAACUUUCGAUGGUAGGAUAGAGGCCUACCAUGGUGGUGACGGGUGACGGAGAAUUAGGGUUCGAUUCCGGAGAGGGAGCCUGAGAAACGGCUACCACAUCCAAGGAUGGCAGCAGGCGCGCAAAUUACCCAAUCCCGACACGGGGAGGUAGUGACAAUAAAUAACAAUACGGGGUUCUUUCGGAUCUCGUAAUUGGAAUGAGUACAAUUUAAAUCUCUUAACGAGGAACAAUUGGAGGGCAAGUCUGGUGCCAGCAGCCGCGGUAAUUCCAGCUCCAAUAGCGUAUAUUAAAGUUGUUGCAGUUAAAAAGCUCGUAGUUGAAUUUCGGGGUCAGUAGGUUGGUCGUGCCACUGGUACGUACUGGUCUCACUGAUUCCUCCUUCCUGAUGAACCGUAAUGCCAUUAAUUUGGUGUUGCGGGGAGACUGGACUGUUACUUUGAAAAAAUUAGAGUGUUUAAAGCAGGCUAACGCUUGAAUACAUUAGCAUGGAAUAAUGAAAUAGGACGUUCGAUCCUAUUUUGUUGGUUUCUAGGAUUGACGUAAUGAUUAAUAGGGAUAGUUGGGGGCAUUAGUAUUCAAUUGUCAGAGGUGAAAUUCUUGGAUUUAUUGAAGACUAACUACUGCGAAAGCAUUUGCCAAGGAUGUUUUCAUUAAUCAAGAACGAAAGUUAGGGGAUCGAAGAUGAUCAGAUACCGUCGUAGUCUUAACCAUAAACUAUGCCGACUAGGGAUUGGAUGAUGUUAAUUUUUUAAUGACUCAUUCGGCACCUUACGGGAAACCAAAGUGUUUGGGUUC